AACUGAUACUACCUGCGGGAACCUGCGGAAGGAUCAUUGCUGGAACGCGCCCCAGGCGCACCCAGAAACCCUUUGUGAACUUAUACCUUACUGUUGCCUCGGCGCAUGCCGGCCCCCAGGGGCCCCUCGGAGACGAGGAGCAGGCACGCCGGCGGCCAACCUAACUCUUGUUUUUACACUGAAACUCUGAGAAAAAAAACAAAAUGAAUCAAAACUUUUAACAACGGAUCUCUAGAUCGG
rnacentral:misc_RNA from 1 species